rnacentral:rRNA from 1 species
AGUGAACGCUGGCGGUAGGCCUAACACAUGCAAGUCGAACGGCAGCACAGUAAGAGCUUGCUCUUACGGGUGGCGAGUGGCGGACGGGUGAGGAAUACAUCGGAAUCUACUUUUUCGUGGGGGAUAACGUAGGGAAACUUACGCUAAUACCGCAUACGACCUCCGGGUGAAAGCAGGGGAUCUUCUGACCUUGCGCGAUUGAAUGAGCCGAUGUCGGAUUAGCUAGUUGGCGGGGUAAAGGCCCACCAAGGCGACGAUCCGUAGCUGGUCUGAGAGGAUGAUCAGCCACACUGGAACUGAGACACGGUCCAGACUCCUACGGGAGGCAGCAGUGGGGAAUAUUGGACAAUGGGCGCAAGCCUGAUCCAGCCAUACCGCGUGGGUGAAGAAGGCCUUCGGGUUGUAAAGCCCUUUUGUUGGGAAAGAAAAGCAGCAGGUUAAUACCCCGCUGUUCUGACGGUACCCAAAGAAUAAGCACCGGCUAACUUCGUG